GAUGAACGCUGGCGGCGCGCCUAACACAUGCAAGUCGAACGGCACCUAUCUUCGGAUAGAAGCGAGUGGCGAACGGCUGAGUAACACGUGGAGAACCUGCCCCCUCCCCCGGGAUAGCCGCCCGAAAGGACGGGUAAUACCGGAUACCCCGGGGUGCCGCAUGGCACCCCGGCUAAAGCCCCGACGGGAGGGGAUGGCUCCGCGGCCCAUCAGGUAGACGGCGGGGUGACGGCCCACCGUGCCGACAACGGGUAGCCGGGUUGAGAGACCGACCGGCCAGAUUGGGACUGAGACACGGCCCAGACUCCUACGGGAGGCAGCAGUGGGGAAUCUUGCGCAAUGGGGGGAACCCUGACGCAGCGACGCCGCGUGCGGGACGGAGGCCUUCGGGUCGUAAACCGCUUUCAGCAGGGAAGAGUCAAGACUGUACCUGCAGAAGAAGCCC
rnacentral:rRNA from 1 species